rnacentral:rRNA from 1 species
UGGGGAAUAUUGCACAAUGGACGGAAGUCUGAUGCAGCAACGCCGCGUGCGGGAUGACGGCCUUCGGGUUGUAAACCGCUUUUUCUCAUGACGAAGUUUUUUGACGGUAGUGGGGGAAGAAGCACCGGCUAACUACGUGCCAGCAGCCGCGGUGAUACGUAGGGUGCGAGCGUUGUCCGGAAUUAUUGGGCGUAAAGAGCUUGUAGGCGGUUUGUCGCGUCGAUAGUGCAAACUCAGUGCUUAACGCUGAGCCUGCUGUUGAUACGGGCAGACUAGAGGAAGGUAGGGGAGAAUGGAAUUCCCGGUGGAGCGGUGGAAUGCGCAGAUAUCGGGAGGAACACCGGUGGCGAAGGCGGUUCUCUGGGCCUUUCCUGACGCUGAGAAGCGAAAGCGCGGGGAGCGAACAGG